rnacentral:rRNA from 1 species
UACAGAGGGUGCAAGCGUUGUUCGGAAUUAUUGGGCGUAAAGCGCGUGUAGGCGGCUUUGCAAGUCGGGUGUGAAAGCCCUCAGCUUAACUGAGGAAGUGCGCCCGAAACUGCUUGGCUUGAGUACCGGAGAGGAUGGUGGAAUUCCCGAAGUAGAGGUGAAAUUCGUAGAUAUCGGGAGGAACACCCGUGGCGAAGGCGGUUCUCUGGGACGGUACUGACGCUGAGACGCGAAAGCGUGGGGAGCGAACAGG